GAUUCUCCCCAGAACCAGCGCGAACGCUGGGCGGGCGUGCCUAAUACGUGCAAAGUCGAGCGAAUGGAUUAAGAGCUUGCUCUUAUGAAGUUAGCGGCGGACGGGUGAGUAACACGUGGGUAACCUGCCCAUAAGACUGGGAUAACUCCGGGAAACCGGGGCUAAUACCGGAUAACAUUUUGAACCGCAUGGUUCGAAAUUGAAAGGCGGCUUCGGCUGUCACUUAUGGAUGGACCCGCGUCGCAUUAGCUAGUUGGUGAGGUAACGGCUCACCAAGGCAACGAUGCGUAGCCGACCUGAGAGGGUGAUCGGCCACACUGGGACUGAGACACGGCCCAGACUCCUACGGGAGGCAGCAGUAGGGAAUCUUCCGCAAUGGACGAAAGUCUGACGGAGCAACGCCGCGUGAGUGAUGAAGGCUUUCGGGUCGUAAAACUCUGUUGUUAGGGAAGAACAAGUGCUAGUUGAAUAAGCUGGCACCUUGACGGUACCUAACCAGAAAGCCACGGCUAACUACGUGCCAGCAGCCGCGGUAAUACGUAGGUGGCAAGCGUUAUCCGGAAUUAUUGGGCGUAAAGCGCGCGCAGGUGGUUUCUUAAGUCUGAUGUGAAAGCCCACGGCUCAACCGUGGAGGGUCAUUGGAAACUGGGAGACUUGAGUGCAGAAGAGGAAAGUG
rnacentral:rRNA from 2 species